AGGCCAGUCCUGCUCCAGCCUAGUCUGUGAUUGACAGCUCAGUACUUGCUUACCAUAAUUCCACUGCUGCUCUUCAGGCUCAGUCGGACUGUUGAUCUGACAGGAAGUGAAGAAGGGAUGAAAAAAUGUAUGUGCAAGGAAAAUGCUAUUAUUUUUAAUUAAAACCAAACAAAGCCCUCCAAGCGUUUUUUGUUUUUAACAACAACAACAACAACAAAGCAUUAUACACAUUGCUUUGCUCUUUGAGUGUAUUGAAGAUUGUUAUUUUGUGACAUUACAUGCUGCAGGUGCAUUUAUGUAAAUAGGGGGUUUAUAUUUUAUAUUUUUGCAUAGGUUUGUUUCAGUAUUUCUGGUGCACUAAAGAAACUGGAGCAUCAGCACUUUUGUAGAACAGUGGGAACUAAAAAAAUCUUAAAAUGUAGCAGUGUUCCUUCAUGAUGCUUCAGACUAUUAACAACAGGAAGGGUCUUUUGUGUAAUCCAACUAUAUGUGCCUUUAUUAUGCCAACCCUUUUGUAUAUGAGAUGCUCAAUUGUUCUACCUAAAUAACUGUCUAUUCUGCUGGAAUCAGCAGGGUUUUUUUCUGGGUUCAUGGUAAUUAUAUCGGAACAAACCACAAAUUUAUUGGGGAAUUUAAAGCAAUACAAGAAAUCAUGACUAUAAAAUAAGGUCAGCUUUCUCGUUGAAAUUAGGAAAUGUUUGGGUCUUUGCCAUCCAAGCAAAAUCAAGCUAAACUUUGAAUUUUUGAUACAUUAACUCUUAACAUCAUUAAUUGGACAGCUUGCCACUUCUUGUGCCUCUGAAUUUGUUUGGUACUUUCUAGGUGGUGCUUGCACACUUUUUAAAAAAAUCAAUUUUUGGACACUUGCUAGGCAGGAGAUAGAAGGAAGCUGAAUUACUAAAUGUAAUCAAUUAAUGUAGCAGAAAAUACUAAGAUUGCUUAAUACUAUUAGAGAGCUCUAUUUCAUUUUAUGUUUUAACUAGAAGUCAUAUCGGAAAACAGUUUCCAUUAUGGAUCUUUCAGGCAGACUUUGAAAUGGCAGCGGUUACAGUUAUGUCAGUACUUGGAUUUAAGAUUGUUAAAAAUGACCAAAUAAUAUUGGCUUUCACAUUUAUGCAUUAGCUUUUACAUGUUGUUAUUGAUUAUAAGUAUUUAGAUAUAAUAAAAAUCAUAAUUCUUUUUAGCUGUUUGUUAAUAUAAUUAGCUUAAGUAUGCCCUGUAUUGUUCAUAGAAGUAGUAGUGUAAUGAAUAUAAUAUCUAUGUAUCUCUUAUAGAAAUAGUAUUGUGAUCAACGUAUUGUACUAUAGACCUUAGCAAAACAUAAGAUGUGAAAAGGGCUUUUUGUAACUAAGAACAGUGUAAGGCCAUCCACUGACUGACCCGUUCAAGUGAUAAGAUAACCAUGACACAAACCAGAGCACCGGAGGACAAUUAGAGAAUACCAUAUUAAAUUUAAAGAGGACAUACUAAAUCCUUAUCAGAGGAUGUGAAACAGCAGGAUGGAGACACAAGAAGAAAUAAAAUAUAUUGACCUGACACCCGGGAUGUCAUGGAGUGUGAAGAAGCCAAACAAAGAAGUUCCUAAAACAUCAGAAAGUUCGGCAAGAAUGUUUGAAUAAUGUAUGAAACACAUGAAUAUGCAUGCACCUCAGCCAGAUGUAAAGGUAUAAAGAUAACACUGUUUGUAUGUACUGGUGUGUUCUUUGGCUGUUGGCCAGGAGCACCCCAGUGCUGGAAAUUUUGUCCUUCUUUAUCCUAUUAUUAUUAAACUUUAAAAAAAUCUAAGGAGUGAACUCUGCUUUUCAUAAGAUCAUAAAUUAAAACAAGUUAACUUCUGCUUUUAUGUCAGACGAGUCUUGGAAUCUCACCUAAUCUUAAAAAUUCUGCAGCUAUACAUCUAGCAGUUAAUACAAAUGAACUGGAGAGACUUGUUUCUGAGACACUGUGUUCUUAGUAUCUUAAAGAAUGUAUAAAUCCCACUUAUUCUGGAAAAGAAACCUAUAUAAUAUAUUGUGCUAUGUAAAAUGUUCACAGGUGGAAUAGCAUAUUGAGUUUUUCCCUCCUAGAUGAUGACAAUUCUGAAGAAGGCCUUCACACCAUUCAUUCAGGAAGGCAUGAAUAUGCAUUCAGCUUUGAGCUUCCACAGAUACCACUUGCUACCUCAUUCGAAGGCAGACACGGCAGUGUGCGGUAUUGGGUGAAAGCUGAAUUGCAUAGGCCUUGGCUUCUACCAGCAAAAUUAAAGAAGGAAUUUACAGUCUUUGAACAUAUAGAUAUCAACACUCCUUCGUUACUGAGCUGUCCCCCGGAGCCGCGCGGCGCCGCCUGGACGCCGUCCUGGAGCAGCUGCUGCACAGAGGGACCCGGUGACACUGGGGACAUUUGGGCAUUUGGGGGAUUUUUGGAAAUUCUGGGGGGUUUUGGGGCCAUUUGGGGGAAGUUCUGAAGG